rnacentral:lncRNA from 1 species
UUUGGAACCUAUGUCGAACCCUGUUCUUGUUUGACACCUGGUAGGUGUCAAACACAAAUAGGCCUGGUAGGUGUUGAACACAAAUAGGCCUGGUAGGUGUCGAACAUAAAUAGGGUUCGACACAGAUUUCAAAGUGGAAUUUGGGUCAGGUUAUGUCAACUUAGUAUCAAAGCAUUAGGUUAAACUCAUGUAGACUACGCUCUUAUGUGCAUCCUAGCACUGACGGAUUCUUGUUUCUUGUAUCAGUACUGUGGGCCCUAAACAUAGUGGUACUCGUAGGGGGACUCGUUAGUCAUCCCGGUUAUGUUGUCUUAAUGCCAGUCCUGAACCAGAGGAACAACUCUUCCCUGAUCCAAAUCAGGAACCUUUUGAGCAGCCUCAUUUAGAAUAUCUGACAGGGACGGUGCCUGUAACACUCACUCAAGUCUACAACAGACUAUAGAGUUAUUGACUCAGGCUUUAUCUAGAGUCAGGCAUACAAAAGAUCUGGC